rnacentral:rRNA from 1 species
AUGUGGGAUAGGAAGGUCAAUUGCAAUGGGGUUGCCGUUUGGGUGUUGAGGAAAUCCAUUGAACUGCAGAAGCUACUUGGGUUGGAGUUUAAGAUUGACAAGGCGAGGGCACGUAUAGUGCGUUAUGCUGAGGAUGUUCAUGCAUUACUUUUAUGGGUGCACUUAUCUCUCUUCAUGGUUCAGCUUGAGUCAAUGCAGCCCAAGAAGCUUUUUAAAAGCGACAACGUGUACUCCUAUUAUCCUUUCACAAGUUUCUAUGAUGAAGGUAACUGUUGGAAUUCAAUUUAUUUUCAAUAUAUGGUUGAUGGAAUACAUUACUGUUGUUCUGAAGUGUUAAAAUCUCCCAAUUAA